rnacentral:rRNA from 1 species
AUGGUAUGUACUGGCUUUACUGAUUCCUCCUUCUUGAAGAACUGUAAUGUCAUUAAUUUGGUGUUGCAGGGAAACAGGACUGUUACUUUGAAAAAAUUAGAGUGUUUAAAGCAGGCUAACGCUUGAAUACAUUAGCAUGGAAUAAUGAAAUAGGACGUUUGAUCCUAUUUUGUUGGUUUCUAGGAUUGACGUAAUGAUUAAUAGGGAUAGUUGGGGGCAUUAGUAUUCAAUUGUCAGAGGUGAAAUUCUUGGAUUUAUUGAAGACUGACUACUGCGAAAGCAUUUGCCAAGGAUGUUUUCAUUAAUCAAGAACGAAAGUUAGGGGAUCGAAGACGAUCAGAUACCGUCGUAGUCUUAACCAUAAACUAUGCCGACUAGGGAUCGGAUGAUGUUAAUUUUUUAAUGACUCAUUCGCCCCCUUACG